GCGCGCAGGUGUGUGCGGGUAUACCUGCAUAUACACUAAGACCACCAUACAUGUACUUUAAAUAUAGAUAUGUUCGGGUAGAUGCUGUUAGAAGACUCCUUUAAGUAAACUGGUGGUAUUUUCUUCCUCAAAAAUCACCAUCAUCCUCCUCUCCAGGUGAAGAUGAAACAGGAACCACGCACAGAUGAAGAUGAACCAGGAAACACGCACAGUCAUCAUCAUCAUCACCUUCAGCCCUACGGAUAAAAGGACACUCAAUGACAACUCUAAUACACUCCCAAUCGAUCCGGUUUGAAACCUCCACUCAUGUUUUCUGCAUAUCCGUGUUGUUUUCCCUCUGAUACCCGGAGAUCUCGCUGCCCUGUCCGGAUCCGGGUGACAGGAAAAGUCGGUUGAAGAACUACGGAUGAUGUUGCUGAAUUGGCGGCAGCGUCAGGCGAGAUCUUCCGGGCUUUUGGAAGAAGUUUCCCGGUGUCCUUUAGCGCUGUGACUGCUCUUUUCACACACACCGAGUGUCUUGUCCAUGUCUGCAGUGCGUGAUGCGGGACAAAUAUACGUAGAGCCGUGAAAACACACCCUUUGGGGAGAUUUUGAAUGAUGAGUGGAGGGGAGGAGCCUCUUUCUUGGACUGCAGCGGCAUCCAGUGGAGAGGAGGGUCGCUGCGGGUCUUGCGGUCUGGGUUGCCAAGUAAGC